UACAAACGUGUAGGCAACUACGAACUAAGAAUUCAUUUCGUUUUUGACUGACAACCAACAAGUAGGCCUACAACUACAUGGCAAAGAGCCACAAAACCUAUGUUUGUAACCUGAAACGACAGCUCGGGAGGUCUCAGGUCAUUGGCAAUCCCAGCCGGCCCAUGCCAGUUCAUCCCAGUUUUCCUGUCGUCACAGGCUACACUUCCUUAGCAACAGAUGGGAAAGGUUGGCCAUGUUAACCCCUUAAGUAACCUUUCUUGGAGAUGAUUGAUUGAUGCUGUGCGGAGGCUGAUCGCUCGAGGAACAUGCAAACACUGACCGACUUCAAUGAGGGGCUCGCUUUCAAGGACACCUUGUGUUACUCAGGUUAAUCUAUGCAGCCAAACUUCAACGUGGGAGUUGAAGUUUACACCUUUUGAGCAAUGAGACAUGGUCAAAGAAUUAGCUCAACUGUAUUGGGCUUUGGCCGUGACUGCAGGAGGGCGUAUAUACCCAUACAAUGCAUCCUCAUCAAAACUCCCAUUCCAGAUGGUUUGAUCCAGGGAAGAUUAAGUUGUGAGAGUCAGGGAGGGUGUACGCCAUAAUCACUUCAUUGUGUUUUUUUUUUCCCCCACUUGCAUGAAGGUCAUCACAGUAAAGAAACAGUUUUGUUGUAAUAAAAUUAAGGACGUCAUAAUUAAAUAUAACCAACAUCUAUUCAUUGGAGUCGUGCAUGCGUUUCUCCACAGCUUACCAUCCAGAUAAGAGAAAUUCCACUGAUUAGCUGUAGUAAGACUUGCAAGCUGAUUACGAUUGGACUCAUCUACAGCUGCGUGGCAACUUGUUUGUGCAGUCACAAUUGAGACAGUGCGGUGAGAGGUGUGCAACUCCCAAUAGGGGUGUGCAAAUAGAUCCUGUCAAGCAUAUUGUGUCAUGUGGCUGCCGAAAAGAAUGGCUUCAGGAGUAAAUAUCCCUCCAGAUGUGGCACAGACGGUCAAAACAUGUUUUUUUGGACACAGGACACAAAUUUCCUGGACCGCCCGUGUCUGCGCGCUGCGCUCCGUCACUCCACCUGGAACAUGACAUGACUGAAAUAGAGGAGAAUUGUGAUGUGAGGAAAACAUGCUGUGGUGGCACGGAACAAACCAACUGUAUCUCCACUCUGCUCGGCUGCCCACCGCUCCAAACAGGAAAGGGAUCAGGGAAAAGGGUCAGCGACUUGUUCCCAGAGCUGAGACAAUCCAUAACACCUGCUUUGCCAACGCCUGCCCACUAGACUGAAUGGAUGUGCUGAAUGUUUUUAUUCCCCUCUGAGAGUGAACAAGUGUGACAUCACACUUAAGCGCGGCUGAUUACUGGAAAGUACAUUCUCGCCUGCGCUCCAUCAUAAUAUCUUCUUGCCAGCUUUUAAAUUCUAAUUAAUAUCUAAGACGGAGGUACUUAAUCAACCCUUUAUGCAGACUAUCUGAAGUGCAUUAAGCUUAGGCACUGAUGUAUGUGAUAGUACAAUCAGGUUGACUCUUUAAAGUGACCUGAACACCUUUGUAAUUGGAUGGCAAAGCCUUUGACUGCUGUAAUGGAUCGGCUCAUUAUUGGCAUGUAUUAUUGAUUUCCAACCACAGUGCUCUCCUGAGACGUGUGGGUUUUCCCUGAGCUUUAUAUUCCGAAAAGAAAACUCGAGACCCCAAGACAUGUAUAUACAGUAUAACAGGACAGGAGACUUUAUUAGAAUUUGAGCGCAGCGAGAUAAUUUAAGGUUUUUUUGGAGUUUGCUUGUGAAACACAUCAAUUGCUUGUGGAGGUCACUAUAAAGGUGACCUCAUCAAUAAAGCAAGGAACCAUGUUUGGUAAUUAAAAAUAAGCCAGUAGAAUCCUGUUAUUUCUCCCAGGCAAUGAGGUAAUCCUAUUAAUAAAAAUUAAAAAACUAGACCUAAAUACUGUAAUGUGGAAUUAAUAUACAAUACAUAUUAUACUGAUGAUAUAAUUUAAAAAAAAAAUGUCAUUACUGAAGUAAAAAUAGUGCAUUAUAGUACCACAAUAUGUUCCUGGGUUUCGAUUUUUGAAUUUUUCAUAUGCGAGUAUGUGCUAUAGGGUUAAAAAGCAUUUUAUUGGUGAAAUAAAUCCUGAAAUAAAAAUGUCAUUCUGCAAUAUAAAGCCUGCUCCAACACUCCCCCAGCAGCCUUUACAUUUAUGCACACACAUGCACAUGCUGCAGCGCAUUGAGGUCAGCAGUUUGUCACAACACAGAAAAUAAAGGUUUAAUUCCCCACUGAAUUCCUCACAGCUAAUCAAUGACAAGGAACUGUUGUCACUUUUGUUUUUGAAACACACAUUAUGGCAUAUUAAAACAUUAAAUAAUCACAGUGAAACAAAUUUGUAUGUACUUUAUUGUUGCAUUUACAUAAAGUUGGCAUUUUCAGAAGGGCUUUUUGUGUUCAGUCGAUCUUUUUCCACCCAGAAAUGGGACAGGGGGUAUUGAAAAAAAGUGGCAAUGUUGCUUCAUCACAAAAAAAGAAAAAAGCUCUGUUGUAAAAGGCCACAUCUACAAUACAAUAGAUGUCACACUGCCAUUAAUUAGCCUGCAGCCUGUAGAGUAGGUCAGACUUUGAUAACAGACUCAUUUGUUAUUCUUUUUCACUAUUAGCGCAAAGACAAUCCUCAGAGCUUGACUGCAAAAACAAUGAUUUACUGGUUCCAAAUAAAAAUCCUCAAG